rnacentral:lncRNA from 1 species
GGUUACUGGGAUUUGAACUCGAGACCUUCAGAAGAGCAUUUAGUGUUCUUGCCCACUGAGGCAUCUCACCAGCCCCUGUUUUUGUUUUUUUUUUUUAAAGAUUUAUUUUAUUUAUAUGAGUACACUGUAGCUGUCUUCAGACAUACCAGAAGAGGGCAUCAAAUCCCAUUAUAGAUGGUUGUGAGCCACCAUAUGGUUGCUGGGAAUUGAACUCAGAAACUUUGGAAGAGCAGUCAGUGCUCUUAACCACUAAGUCAUCUCUCUAGCCCUUGUUUGUUUUUUUAAUUACAGUAAAUAUCAGUAGGUUUGCCCACCUAGCCAAAGCCUCCUUGGAUUCGUCAAUAGGUUUUAAAAACCAUAAAAGAUCCUGAAAAAUAAAAAAUCUAGAACAAAUCCCCAUUUCUUACUUGUAAUCUAGAUCUCUGAUUUUAGUUGCAGAUCCAGCACUUUCUAGAACAUUCUGUCUUGCUACACUGGGGGUAGUGCAGGCCACCAUGCAUCCAUCUUAAGCAUGGUGUUGGGGGAUUACUUAUGUAUAUAUGCAGGGGUCAGCUUGAGACCCCUCGUCCUUUAAAUUACACUGUGAGGUACUUGUUACCAACAUGUUCUGCUUAUAAUCCUGUGUGGGAGCCUGUUUUAGCUUCUUGACACUAUGCCCACUGGUGUUUGUGAGUUCCUCUCGUUUACAUUGACGCUUUUCCUGAGGAUUCCUGUGAGUUGAUCCGAAUGGGCCACUUUACUGACUGACCAAAUAAGAUUUCUGUAAAGGAUAAUUUGUAGAUUGAAAACACAGGAAUCAAGCCAAGACUGUAAGUCUGCUUCAUAUUGCAUUAAUUACAGAGAAGCACAGCCUGUAGAAAUGUACCAGUCCUAGUUUCUAAAUGGCUGCAUACAAUGUGUACAUGUUUGAUACAACUUGACCAAUAGAAAAAAAAAUUCUGAUUUUGUAAAAUCAGUUUCACUCUUGAAACUUUAAGAUGAUAAAAUUGACUCAUUCAGUCAGCCAGCAGGUCAGCCAUUUAUUUUAUGGUACUGCAGAUGGAACCUUGGAUCUAAUGAAUGUACAGUAAGCAUACUGUCACUGAGAUAUACCAGUGCCCUUGCUCCCCAGAUUGGGUUUUGUAGUCUCAGUCUGGACCUGAACUUUCUUAUAUCCCAGUCAUUGACAUUGAUCCUCUUGCCAGACCAGCCGGCAUAAGAAAUCAUUUGUUGAUGUACAUAGGAUUGUUGUAUUUUUAUUAGUCAAGUAGGUGUGCCCCGUUGUAUUAUUUAAAACAGUGGCUUUCAGAGCGAUCAAGUACAGCUUCAGAGUUGGGAGUAGAAAGAAUAUACUACUCAAACUUUUAUUCACAUAUUUUAGUCUAAAAUUAAUCUUAGUUGAAAGUUUAUUAAUACCUAAUAUGCAACUUAGCAAGGGUACGUUUGCUCUCCCUACAUGAGGCUCUUGUGUCAGAGAAGAUGGACCAUGCUCAGUAAAGGAGGGGAAUUUCCAAGUUGUGAAUUUCUUUUCCUUUUCUAUUUACCUCACCUGGAUGUCAAAGCCCCUGACAUGGGAGAAGCACAGAUAAGCGUCCCAUCUAAGCCCCUCAGACAACUGUCAGGAUUUUCCUUUCAUACUAGGCAGGUCACAAGUGAUGAUGUUUUCGAAUAUAAGUAUGGAAUCUGAAACCAUACUUUAAAAAAAAAAACAACAGCUUAAACAUGAUUUUCAUUCUUAUUGACUUUCAUAAUUACAUAAAACUUUUAUUUUUACAUCCGUCAAAAAUGUGUUACAUAGCUUUGUUACGGUCUUUCCUGUAUGGUGAGUUAGAAAGUAAAUAAAUCAGCCAACUACCUGCUUCCCAAGAGAAAUGGAUGUUGGGUUAGCAACAAACUAGGCUACAAAAAUAUCUCUAUUGUUUUCUUUUCUUGCUAAAGUAGUCCUUGUCAUCUAUAUUGAUUAAAAAGUCCUUAUAGUCUUUAGACUUUGAGAACUUGAAAACAGAAUUUUCUGCCUUAAUUUAAAGCACAAGUUAUAAAUCUUAGUAGUUUGUGACUCUGGUCGACAAUGACUAGAUCUCACUUACUAGCUGAAGGGCAGCAAGCCUGUAUAGGUGGCACAGAAGAGCAGCACCCUGGUUUACUGAGUCAGCAAGUGCUUUCUGAAUUUAGACUUCCAUGGUUUUGUGAAGACCUGUCAGCUCAGAAGUGACUCUAAGCCACACAGAACAGACACUUGAGAAGUAGGCUUUUAGAUUACUUUUAGUAGAACUUUAAAAACUAGCUACGACUAUUCUAUUAUGCUUCCUUCUCAUCUCUUUUUAGAAAAAUGGCUUUAUAGCAUUAGUAUUAAAUUAACAUUUAAAUUGUUAAUUUCACCUUAUACUCUCAAAUUUUCUAUUUGUGAUAUGAUUAAAUAUACAAUAAUAUAUAUAUUCUGCAUACAGGUAAGCAUAUAUCUCUGGAAAAGUUUUUUUUUACUACUUUUUAUGAUAUUAGCAUACAAAGUAGUAGAAUAUUUCCAUCCUAGACACUAUUACUAGAAUAUAGAUUUAAUUUUUCACUAACUUUGUAUCUGAAUAUUGAGUGCAGAAAAUAAUUCAAGGCAAAAAGUUUGUAGUGUGAAGAACCUGUAGCUCUUCUGACUACUUGCCAAGCAUCAGAACUUUUGGUUCCCGUUUAAAUGGUCAGCCAGUUUCACGAUUGUGCUGUUUCCAACAAUCUUACACAAUUUUAUUUAGUUUUUAAAACUUUUCUUCAUUAAUUCACAGGCAAACUGAGAAAGAGUUUGUACAUUCCAUAGUAUCUUCUACUUCUAUUUCUAUCCUCAGCUGAUAGAAAGACUCUGGAUGUACUUGCCCCUCAGCGGCAGUGCACUCCAAUGGUGCUCGGUAAUUAAACCACCUCUUUUCUAUGGCUAAGAGAUACCAAGUGUGGCUAAUUGCAAUGUCUCAAUCUGUACACUUUCUGGUGAGGAGGGAAGAGUGGCUGGAUGCUGUCCUACUUCAAAUGGCAAACGAUGUCUGCAUUCACUCCUUUGGAAACUCACCAGCUGUACUUCCAUAUUGACACUCCACUCCAGUCACACCUUCCCUUUUAUUUUUGGCUACAUCUAUUGUGAUGAGGACAACAUAAAACAUUUAUGUCUCAAGAUCACUUGAUGCAUUUUCCAAACACAAAUAACCAAAUAGUUGAUGUAUGCAUUUAUAACUCAUCACUAAGCAUAAUCAUUAGUUGUAUUCAAGGAUAAUAAAAGAUUAACCAAAUUAUCUUCUAAGGUUGUCCUUGCUAGUGACUAGGUAAAAAUGAUAAGUUAAUAUAUUGUAUUGAUAUUUUGCUGGGUGAGUUUACUGAGGACAGUAAACUUUUGGAGUCAUUUGGGAGUUGCAAAUCUAUAAAUUAGAAAUGGCAGUCAAGUGGCUGCCGCUUGAUGCUCUGCAGCCCUCAAAUGUGGUGAGCGCCCACCCAAGGGCAUGCUUAGACUUGGUUGGUAAUUAUAAUUGAGCUGUAAAAUAUUUUGACAGUUUCCAACUGUUGUGUACAUGUUAGUCAUUUGGUGGCAAAUGCAAUUUGGUGAGGGUUUGGGUUUUUUUUUUUUUUUUGAGUUGGGGAAUAUUUAAUUAAGACAUUGAAUUGCGUAGUAUUUCACAGUAAGCAUUAAUCCAAUGUUUUGUUACUAUGAGCUACUUUUAUAAUUUAUCCAAGACAGAGAAAAACUUCAUCUUUAAAAACACUGCAUAAGUAAGUGAAAGUUGCUACUGGAAGUUUCUGUUUUUCUUUACAAGCUUUUACUUGUUGACUCUUCAUUGGUAGCUUGAACAUGGUAUUUGACUUUCCUAGGUAAGUAUAUUGAAGGCCCCCACCC